rnacentral:rRNA from 1 species
AACCAAAUCCAAGCCUUAAAACUCAACCCGCCCCUAUGGUACCAACCCUAAAAAAAAUAAUUAAAAUUUGAAUACUAAACAAGACAAUAAACAACUCAACAAAACUAAAUAUUUAAAUUGACUGGAAGUAGAACUUAAGUUUUGUACCUUUUGUAUCAGGGGUGAUUAAAAAUUAAGAAUAAUCCAAAAUCUCGAAAUUUAAGUAGAUAAAGGCCUAAUUCUAUCAUUGUGUAAAAAAUGAAGUAAACCUGCCUUUAGAUUUUACAAAAAAUCAACUUUCAAAUAUCUAGUUACUGGAUAAAUUGGUUUAAUCAAGCUCUACCCUCAGGAGAACAUUAAUUAAACACUGGAUAGAUAGACAUGUUAGAGGAUAACCCCUAAAAUUCUGUAAAUUGAUGAAAACUAACUAGCAACCCCGUAAGAUUAGCAAUAUCUAGGAUUCGAAUAUAUAAAAAUUCUCACUUUACAGAAAUAUUUAAUUAACCAACAAUUACACAAAGACCCAGUUAUUGUAUAAAUAAUCACCAACCCACACCAAUGAUCACAUCAAUAUACUAUAAAAAUUAAACUAAAGAACUAGGCAAGUGAAAGGUUUCCAACUGUUUAACAAAAACAUAGUCCAAGGAACUCAAGUCUUAGAUAACUCCUGCUCAAUGAUUUAAAUUAAAUGGCUGCAGUAAAUUAACUGUACUAAGGUAGCAUAAUCAAUUGCUUCCUGAUUAGAAGCUGGAAUGAACGGAACAAUGAGAAACUAACUCUUUAAAAUUAACAGGUAAAAAUUAAUAUUUGAGUGAAAAAUCUCAAAUCCCAUCAAAAGACAAGAAGACCCUUUAGAAUUUAAUAACUCACUAUUUAUAAAAAUAUCUGUACUUAUUUAAUUGGGGAGAUUGAAAGAUAUUUUAACCUCUUUUUAUUAAAUAAAUACUGAAAGUAAGUUAAAUUAUCCACCCACGAAAUAAAACUAAUUACCUAAGGGAUAACAGCGUAAAAUUUUUAGAAAGAUCCCAUUGAUAAAAUAAAUUACGACCUCGAUGUUGGAUUAAGAAUACUCUAUAAAGAAGAAUUUAUAGAAAACGGUCUGUUCGACCGAUGAAUUCUUACAUGAUCUGAGUUCAGACCGGCGUGAGCCAGGUCAGUUUAUAUCUUUGAUAUACUUAUGGUCUUUAGUACGAAAGGAUUAAGGUCAUCAAAAAUUU